AUAAAAUUAUAAAUACAUGCGUAUUUAACCUGAAAUUUUCACCAUGUUUCCACGCAUCAGUGAGUCUCGGUUGCCUAGCGACAAAGUUGCAGGUUUUACUACAUUUUAACGUAUCUCGGUUUCAAGGAAAUGGUUACUGCGUCAUAAUGUGGGAACAUUCAAUUCUGUUAUAAGUUAUUUUGCGUACGUAGCGCAAGUUUUAAGUGGAGUUUGUUAGAAAGAGUUAGUUGUGUAAAGCGACUGCACGUAUCUCUCUGUACCUACAUUGUCUGUUCUUUUCAUACUUUUUAAAGGAAACGUGUUUGGUUUUUCAAUGACAAUGUAAGGGUUACAUUUAAAACAAACUAUUAGCAAUAAAUCAUCGGAAACCACAGUACGCUUCAUCAUAAACCAUCUUACAUCAAACAAUGGAUCUUUGAAACCUACAAUGGCUAACAUAACUGAAAUUAAAAGUUAACUACAAAUACAACAAAAACGUUUUACAAGAAGAUUACGAAAUAUUUAUUCAAAGAAAUUCAUCGUUCGCGGGAUGAACUGAUACUCACAAAAACAAAUGAACGUCUGUCCUUUGCAUGGUACAAUCAAAACUGGCCAGUUGUAAAAACUCGACUUUCAUUUAAUUGAGUAUGCAAAGCGGCCGGCGUGGUCCGCCAUUGAAGUCUUAUCCUUUGUGUGACGUCACAGUAUGGAGCGUACGCUAAGUAUGGCUAUUUUUUACACGUUGAGAAUGAUGUGCUUAAAGGGCUCUCUGAGUAAUGUGGGUGUACAGAAAUUUUCUCUCAAAAUGUUGUUUAUGUGUGUAUUAUGGUGUUUGUAUUUUUUGAACCAAAAGACUGUUAGAGUGUAUCUUAGAAAAAAUAUUCAGUGCAAGUCAACAAACAACUUUUAGGAACAUUAUUUUGGAAUGUGCUCUGAAAAACAAAAACGUAUACCUAUACGCAAUUUUCACGUUACCAAUUUAUAGAACGUGGGUUAUAUCGAAGCCUGAAUCUUCAGCAAUAUGAGGGCAAACUAGCAUCAAAUUGAAACUAGACACGGUGAAUAAAACGCGGGCUGCGGCCGGUUAUUACGAAUAUAUUAGGGUCUGGUUACGA